rnacentral:lncRNA from 1 species
CUUAUUCCUGUUUUAGGUUCAGUACAUACUCCUUCGUUUUACUCAAGUGUGUAAAACAAAGUUGGCCCCUUGCCAACCCUUCUGUUGUAUCUAUACUCCAUAGGAAGAAGAUGGGAUUCUUUAUUCUGUGGCACAAAAUGGGUGUGUGCAAGCCCUGUAUCAGGAGGGACCCCCUGGCUAUAGGGGACCUAUACCUUCUCCUGGAGUUGAUUCUGCUCUGUCUCUUCUCUGUGUGAGUAAAGUGUUGUUCCAUCUA